rnacentral:rRNA from 1 species
AUUGAACGCUGGCGGCAGGCCUAACACAUGCAAGUCGAGCGAGCGGGGGAGGGGUGAGUGAAGUAUGGGGGAUGUCCCAUAGAGGGGGAUAACUAUUCGAAACGGUAUCUAAUACAGCGUAUUCUCGGAUAAUCCCUAUGGGAUUAGCUAGUAGGGGGGGUAAUGGCUCACCUAGGCGACGCUCCCUAGCUGGUCUGAGAGGAUGAUCAGCCACACUGGGACUGAGACACGGUCCAGACUCCUACGGAGGCAGCAGUGGGGAAUAUUGCACAAUGGGCGCAAGCCUGAUGCAGCCAUGCCGCGUGUAUGAAGAAGGCCUUAGGGUUGUAAAGUACUUUCAGUGGGGAGGCGUUACCCACAGAAGAAGCACCGGCUAACUCCGUGCCAGCAGCCGCGGUAAUAC